CGGGAUGUGGCGCAGUGGUAGCGCACUCGUCUGGGGGGCGAGUGGUCGCUGGUUCAAAUCCAGUCAUCCCGA
rnacentral:tRNA from 2 species